rnacentral:rRNA from 1 species
AUGAACGCUGGCGGCGUGCCUAAUACCUGCCAGUCGCGCGAACAGACGAGGAGCUUGCUCCUCUGACGUUAGCGGCGGACGGGUGAGUAACACGUGGAUAACCUACCUAUAAGACUGGGAUAACUUCGGGAAACCGGAGCUAAUACCGGAUAAUAUAUUGAACCGCAUGGUUCAAUAGUGAAAGACGGUUUUGCUGUCACUUAUAGAUGGAUCCGCGCCGCAUUAGCUAGUUGGUAAGGUAACGGCUUACCAAGGCGACGAUGCGUAGCCGACCUGAGAGGGUGAUCGGCCACACUGGAACUGAGACACGGUCCAGACUCCUACGGGAGGCAGCAGUAGGGAAUCUUCCGCAAUGGGCGAAAGCCUGACGGAGCAACGCCGCGUGAGUGAUGAAGGUCUUCGGAUCGUAAAACUCUGUUAUUAGGGAAGAACAAAUGUGUAAGUAACUAUGCACGUCUUGACGGUGCCUAAUCAGAAAGCCACGGCUAACUACGUG